rnacentral:rRNA from 1 species
CUACAGGCUUAACACAUGCAAGUCGAGGGGCAGCAUGGUCUUAGCUUGCUAAGGCCGAUGGCGACCGGCGCACGGGUGAGUAACACGUAUCCAACCUGCCGUCUACUCUUGGACAGCCUUCUGAAAGGAAGAUUAAUACAAGAUGGCAUCAUGAGUCCGCAUGUUCACAUGAUUAAAGGUAUUCCGGUAGACGAUGGGGAUGCGUUCCAUUAGAUAGUAGGCGGGGUAACGGCCCACCUAGUCUUCGAUGGAUAGGGGUUCUGAGAGGAAGGUCCCCCACAUUGGAACUGAGACACGGUCCAAACUCCUACGGGAGGCAGCAGUGAGGAAUAUUGGUCAAUGGGCGAGAGCCUGAACCAGCCAAGUAGCGUGAAGGAUGACUGCCCUAUGGGUUGUAAACUUCUUUUAUAAAGGAAUAAAGUCGGGUAUGGAUACCCGUUUGCAUGUACUUUAUGAAUAAGGAUCGGCUAACUCCGUGCCAGCAGCCGCGGUAAUACGGAGGAUCCGAGCGUUAUCCGGAUUUAUUGGGUUUAAAGGGAGCGUAGAUGGAUGUUUAAGUCAGUUGUGAAAGUUUGCGGCUCAACCGUAAAAUUGCAGUUGAUACUGGAUAUCUUGAGUGCAGUUGAGGCAGGCGGAAUUCGUGGUGUAGCGGUGAAAUGCUUAGAUAUCACGAAGAACUCCGAUUGCGAAGGCAGCCUGCUAAGCUGCAACUGACAUUGAGGCUCGAAAGUGUGGGUAUCAAACAGGAUUAGAUACCCUGGUAGUCCACACGGUAAACGAUGAAUACUCGCUGUUUGCGAUAUACUGCAAGCGGCCAAGCGAAAGCGUUAAGUAUUCCACCUGGGGAGUACGCCGGCAACGGUGAAACUCAAAGGAAUUGACGGGGGCCCGCACAAGCGGAGGAACAUGUGGUUUAAUUCGAUGAUACGCGAGGAACCUUACCCGGGCUUAAAUUGCAGAUGAAUUACGGUGAAAGCCGUAAGCCGCAAGGCAUCUGUGAAGGUGCUGCAUGGUUGUCGUCAGCUCGUGCCGUGAGGUGUCGGCUUAAGUGCCAUAACGAGCGCAACCCUUGUUGUCAGUUACUAACAGGUUCCGCUGAGGACUCUGACAAGACUGCCAUCGUAAGAUGUGAGGAAGGUGGGGAUGACGUCAAAUCAGCACGGCCCUUACGUCCGGGGCUACACACGUGUUACAAUGGGGGGUACAGAGGGCCGCUACCACGCGAGUGGAUGCCAAUCCCCAAAACCUCUCUCAGUUCGGACUGGAGUCUGCAACCCGACUCCACGAAGCUGGAUUCGCUAGUAAUCGCGCAUCAGCCACGGCGCGGUGAAUACGUUCCCGGGCCUUGUACACACCGCCCGUCAAGCCAUGGGAGCCGGGGGUACCUGAAGUGCGUAACCGCGAGGAGCGCCCUAGGGUAAAACUGGUGACUG